UGAACUUAAGCAUAUCAAUAAGCGGAGGAAAAGAAACUAACAAGGAUUCCCCUAGUAGCGGCGAGCGAACAGGGAUUAGCCCAAAACCGAAUCCUGCAGUUUGCGCUGUUUGGAAAUGUGGUUUUUGGUUCAGAAUCUACCGCAUGUUGGAGGUGCCUCAAGUCCACGUGAUUGUGGCUUCAAGUCCACAGAGGGUGUAAGACCCGUAGAGGCAAUACAAUGUGCACUGAUUUUGUUCCUAGAGUAGGGUUGUUUGGGAAUGCAGCCCGAAUCGGGUGGUAAACUCCAUCCAAGGCUAAAUACAACACGAGUCCGAUAGUAAACAAGUACCAUGAGGGAAAGUUGAAAAGAACUUUGAAGAGAGAGUUCAAUAGUACGUGAAACCGUUUAAUGAGAAACGGGCAGAGCCGAAGGGUGAAUGUCAUAUUUGUGCUACGAGUCGUAUGUAUGUUGGGUUACUGAGAUAGGCUUAUUCUACUCAGUCCAGCAUAUUUUAUAAUACGCUGUGCUAUUGUGUCAUUCUAACACCACGAUCAGUUAGUAAGUUGGCUUGUUAUUGGGGGUAAGGUGGCUCUGGACUUAUCCAGGGUUUUAUAGACCCCUUUUACAACGCUGGCUGAGCACUGUUUUGCUAUGUAGUCCAUUGUAUGGUUCAAGGUACGCCAAGUUUGAAGGGGUUGUGUUGAAUCAUUGAGAUUUGAUGUGGCUUUCUGCUUACUUACAGUGCCCACUGUACUUUACAUCAGUAAUCUGUGGUGAAUGUAGGCAUUCUGCCCGACCCGUCUUGAAACACGGACCAAGAAGUUUAACAUGUACGCGAGUCAUGGGGUUGUACGAAACCUAAAGGCGAAGUGAAAGUAAAGAACGGUACUUUUACCGGUCUAGGUAGGAUCCUGGCUCCAAUGUUUUACAUGGACUGGGCGCACUACCGGCUCGUCCCAUGCUUUAUUAAGUGGGGCGACGCAAUAGCGUACAUGUUAAGACCCGAAAGAUGGUGAACUAUGCCUGUGUAGAACGAAGCCAGUGGAAACUCUGGUGGAAGUUCGUAGCGAUUCUGACGUGCAAAUCGAUCGUCAAACAUGGGUAUAGGGGCGAAAGACUAAUCGAACCAUCUAGUAGCUGGUUCCCUCCGAAGUUUCCCUCAGGAUAGCUGGCACUCGGGAAACAAACAGUUUUAUCCGGUAAAGCGAAUGAUUAGCAGUAUUGGGGAUGACAUAUCCUCAACUGAUUCUCAAACUUUAAAUGGGUGAGAUGCUCAACUCUCUUGAUAUGGAGUUCGUGCAAAAUUGAAUGUGAGUGCCUAGUGGGCCAUUUUUGGUAAGCAGAACUGGCGCUGUGGGAUGAACCAAACGUCUGGUUACGGAGCCAAACAUAACGCUCAUGAGAUACCACAAAAGGUGUUGGUUGAUAUAGACAGCAGGACGGUGGCCAUGGAAGUUGGAAUCCGCUAAGGAGUGUGUAACAACUCACCUGCCGAAUCAACCAGCCCUGAAAAUGGAUGGCGCUUGAGCGUUGGUCCUAUACCAGACCGUUACCGCUAACUGCAUAGUAUGUGGUAACGAGUAGGAGGGGCGCCGUGGUUAGCAUUGAAGCCCUAUACCGUGAGGUUGGGUGGAGCAGCCACGGGUGCAGAUCUUGGUGGUAGUAGCAAAUAUUCAAGUGAGAACCUUGAAGACUGAAGU
rnacentral:rRNA from 1 species